rnacentral:rRNA from 1 species
AUUGAACGCUGGCGGCAGGCCUAACACAUGCAAGUCGAGCGGAUGAAGGGAGCUUGCUCCUGGAUUCAGCGGCGGACGGGUGAGUAAUGCCUAGGAAUCUGCCUGGUAGUGGGGGAUAACGUCCGGAAACGGGCGCUAAUACCGCAUACGUCCUGAGGGAGAAAGUGGGGGAUCUUCGGACCUCACGCUAUCAGAUGAGCCUAGGUCGGAUUAGCUAGUUGGUGGGGUAAAGGCCUACCAAGGCGACGAUCCGUAACUGGUCUGAGAGGAUGAUCAGUCACAAUGGAACUGAGACACGGUCCAGACUCCUACGGGAGGCAGCAGUGGGGAAUAUUGGACAAUGGGCGAAAGCCUGAUCCAGCCAUGCCGCGUGUGUGAAGAAGGUCUUCGGAUUGUAAAGCACUUUAAGUUGGGAAGAAGGGCAGUAAGUUAAUACCUUGCUGUUUUGACGUUACCAAAAGAAUAAGCACCGGCUAACUUCGUG